rnacentral:lncRNA from 1 species
AGAACAUGCAUGAGUGGAGUCGAGGCAGAGAGAAUCCCAAGCAGGCUCCGCCCUGUGGGUACCAAGCUGGAUGCAGAGCUUGAUCUCAUGACCUUGAGAUCAUGACCUGAGCCGAAAUCAAGUGUCGGACAUUUGACCGACCGAGCUGCCCAGGUGCCCCCGCAAAUUUCCAUUAUUUUCCUCUUCAGCAACUUCAGCCCGGUGUAUGCAAAGGUCAAAAAGGGUUUUACAUCUGCUUUGAUGCCUUGACUCUGUGGGGCUCACACUCCGAAACGUACACACACAGCACACUCCCCACCUGUGUCUAUAUCGGUACCUCACGUGACACUCAAGUUUGUGUGAACGUAAGAUAAUGUAGGGGGUUUCCAUCCGAAAAAUGAGGACAGUGUCGUUUGAAAUACUAGGAAAUCUACAGCGUGGCAUUUUCAGAGAAGCCGGGCACAGCCUCAGACAGUUUCCCUGGCAGACGUGAACCGGUGGAAGGAGGCCACCAGCAUCUAAAACUUCACAGCGGCCAGCCCCGAACGACAGACAGGGAGGCGGCCACACUUAUGUUCUGCGAACACAGGCAAGCUAGGAUCACUUUGCUUCCUCUUCUUUAAUUCUUGCAGACCUUACCUGAGUCCCGCUCUCCAUACUUCCUUCACAGAUGGGACAGAAGCCUGGCUUUUGGUGAGACAGUCUUCCCCUGCCCUCGGCCAGGCCCGGCCCCCAUGCUUCUGUGGCUGCUGCUGAUCCUGGCUCCCGGACGACAGCCGGCAGGUCAGUCUUCCCUUCUCUCUUCCCCCUGCUCUCGGGGCACGGGUCCUCCCCCGUACAUGGGGGCUGCGGGGAGUGGGUCAACGUCAGCGGUGACACCUGUGACCAUGGCGGGCUCGCCGAGCCUCCUGUGGUCUCUCCAGCCUUCGGUUCUCUCCCCGCUCGCGUGAGUGAAAGAAGCAUUUGCAGAGGCAGGAGGCUAAUGCCCAGAACCUUCCACGUGUCUCCUCUCUUCCCUAAGGACCCCCUACCCCCACCCUGUAUGUUCAAGCCAGAGCCACCGUCGAAGGACAGAGAGAUAAAGUGCUGCAGCCUGUGUGGCUGUCCCGCUUCAAUUUCUGGUCCCGUUGGUCAGCUACAGUUUUAUCCACAAAGAUGAUUGCGCAGGCAGCCCGUGCCCCUCCAUUCCAAUUCUUUAUAUCCCUCCGUUUUGUAUUGUGUCUGACUUGGCUGGAGAGCGGACAGAAGUUGCCUUCCCCGUGAAAUCUCAAGGGAAGCAAGGUUUAAAAAUAACGAAAGUGGAAAAAAUGUGUAUUAAUUAUGAGCAACCAAGUAGGAAGUGGUUUGUCAGAGUCUAGAAAGUGCUUCCGAGGCUCAUUCAGCCAGGCCCACCUGUGCCUUGGCAGGAAUGUCGAGGACAAGAGCAUCUCAGAAUCAGCCCGCCCCCAGAGGCCAGCACGGUGUCUGCCCAGCUGCCCGUCACAUCUCCUGAGCUUUUCUGAGCCCACACCAGGGAC